rnacentral:rRNA from 1 species
CACGUAGGGGGCGAGCGUUGUCCGGAUUUAUUGGGCGUAAAGGGCUCGUAGGCGGCUCAGUAAGUCGGGUGUGAAACCUCCAGGCUCAACCUGGAGACGCCACUCGAUACUGCUGUGGCUAGAGUCCGGUAGGGGAGCAUGGAAUUCCUGGUGUAGCGGUGAAAUGCGCAGAUAUCAGGGGGAACACCAGUGGCGAAGGCGGUGCUCUGGGCCGGAACUGACGCUGAUGAGCGAAAGCGUGGGGAGCAAACAGG